GCCUCUAUAGCUCAGUGAUGGAGCACUGGUCUCGUAAACCAGGGGUCGGGAGUUCGAUCCUCCUGGAGGCA
rnacentral:tRNA from 1 species